rnacentral:rRNA from 1 species
AUUGAACGCUGGCGGCAUGCUUUACACAUGCAAGUCGAACGGUAACAGGGAGCUUGCUCCGCUGACGAGUGGCGAACGGGUGAGUAAUGCGUCGGAACGUGCCGAGUAGUGGGGGAUAACGCAUCGAAAGGUGUGCUAAUACCGCAUACGUACUGAGGUAGAAAGUGGGGGACCUUCGGGCCUCACGCUAUUCGAGCGGCCGACGUCUGAUUAGCUAGUUGGUGAGGUAAAGGCUCACCAAGGCGACGAUCAGUAGCGGGGCUGAGAGGAUGAUCCGCCACACUGGGACUGAGACACGGCCCAGACUCCUACGGGAGGCAGCAGUGGGGAAUUUUGGACAAUGGGCGCAAGCCUGAUCCAGCCAUGCCGCGUGUCUGAAGAAGGCCUUCGGGUUGUAAAGGACUUUUGUCCGGGAGCAAAUGCCUGGUGUUAAUAGCAUCGUGAGCUGAGAGUACCGGAAGAAUAAGCACCGGCUAACUACGUGCCAGCCGCCGCGGUAACAC